GACGAACGCUGGCGGCGUGCUUAACACAUGCAAGUCGAACGGAAAGGCCAGUGCUUGCUCUGGUGCUCGAGUGGCGAACGGGUGAGUAACACGUUGGUGAUCUGCCUUGCACUCUGGGGUAAGCUUGGGAAACUGGGUCUAAUACCGGAUAUGAACUGCCUUUCGUGUGGUGGUUGGAUAGUUUUUUCGGUGUAAGAUUCGCUCGCGGCGUAUCGGCUUGUUGGUGGGGUAAUGGCCUACCAAGGCGUCGACGGGUAGCCGUCCUGAGAGGGUGUACGGCCACAAUGGGACUGAGAGACGGAGCAGACUCCUACGGGAGGCAGUAGGGGGGAACAUUGCACAAUGGGGGGAAGCCUGAUGCAGAGACGUCGGGUGGGGGAAGACGGCUUUCGGGUGGUAAACACCUUUCGACAGAGACGAAGCGGAAGUGACGGUACCUGUAUAAGAAGCACCGGCUAACUACGUG
rnacentral:rRNA from 1 species